rnacentral:lncRNA from 1 species
GGCAAGUCUGAACUUUAAAACGACGUCACUUGAAACAUUCUCAAGAAUCAAACAACAUACAAAAUGGCGUGGCCCGGGUCUGCGCAAUUAGGGUUUUGACUGCCAAUCCCUAAUGCAUGCGUAUUUAACUGUCGUCACAAGGAAUCAAGGAUAUUUAGAGUCUGUUUCUUCUCCUUCUAUGUAACAUAUCUUCCUCUUUAUUAUUUGUGCAUUGGUAGAAGUUGCGAUGUUUGAUUACAUUUUCUUGUAGCGGGAAGAUAGAAAGGGAGAAUUAGAAGAGGCUUGGUUGCGAUGAUUAGAAAUGAAAUUAUUGGUUCUGAAUGCUAUAGCCAUGGCAUGACAGACUCCUUUACACCCAUAGAAUAUGAGCACCGCCGUCUAAUUUCUCAGUGUUUCUGAUUUGUUUUAUGUAAUUAAUCGCUUUAUUGUAGAUUUGGAUAUUGGUUUACAAUUUUAUCUCAUUGAUUUGCUGUUUGAUAAUUUGCUGAUUUGUGCAAUUACACAUUGUGUUUGAAAAGCGUGUUCAAUUGAUGGUUUUAUAGGAGCUACAGAAGAUCAAUGAAAAUACUUUAGGAGGUGACUUUUGUUUGCAAAGCAUGAUAAUGAAAUUGCUUUGUUUUGAGUCAACUCCCUAAAAUUAUUUGGUGGUGUUUGAAGCCUUAAUUUGAUGGAAGAAGCAAUUUCGUAGAUUGGGGUUACGCACAUUUCUACAUCAUGUGUAAUUUUUCACUCUCUUUUUAUUUUAUUCAAUUUUGAUUUAAAUUUUUUCUAUCCUGAAUUUUCAGAUGUUGUUGAUCUUUGGUUGGAUACAUGUAUUCGACGAAUUCUCAUCAUUCAAGACCAAAGAUUGAGAUGUGAUCUUGGAAUUCCUUUCUCAAAAAUGACUUGUGUUUUCUGCACAGGAUUUUUUUUCUUCUAUCAUAUAGAAUGGUUAUGCGUGACUGAUAUAAAACAAAUGAAAGCAAGAUUGAAGGCAGUUGUAUUCUCUCUUGAACUUUCUAAGAGCAUGACUCCUUGUUUUCUACAGUGGGAAGGGGCAGGGAGGGGCCUCUCCUCUCCACCUGAGUUGCGUUUGAUUUUGUAAUGCUUCACAUGUCUGAGCUCAGUACCUUGCAUGGGUGAUAUGUUGGUUCUGUUUGUCCUUCUUUCCUCUGUGUUGUUUGCUCUGGUGUGGAUUUUGCAGGUGGAAGUGAUACUCUGAGGUUUCUCCGCUGAAGUCAUUACCGGCGGCUCUUUGCUCUGCAUGCGUUUUUUUUGCUUAUGUCCCAGCAUAGAUGCGUCACUAGGAAUUGCAUCGGGGACUCGCUGGUCCGGCUACUCCUGGGGUGGUCCCUACGCAUGCCUCGGCCCGUGGACUCCAGAUAGCUAUUUUCUGAAUAGUGCUACUGUUUUCUCUGCCUAGUUAGGGCCUAGGGUUAUUUUAGAUCUUGGGUUGGGCCCUUUAGUAAGCUGAGUGUAUAGGGAUUGACUUUGGGUGAAUUAUUUUGGGCUCUGUAGGCCUUCUGCGUAGGAUUUGUUACCAAUUAAGCCUUGUAAUGAGGUUCUAGGCCAUGUAAUGUUUCCGCGCAUCUAAUGGAGCCGCCAUCUUUGGAAGAAAAAAAUUUUGAGACUACUUUGCAUCCAUGAAAUGAAAAGAGGAAUUUUUUUUUAUGACAGAAGCUUUUUAAUUUCUUUGGUUCU